GAUGAAGAACGCAGCGAAAUGCGAUAAGUAGUGUGAAUUGCAGAAGUACCGUGAAUCAUCGAAUCUUUGAACGCAAAUUGCACUCUCUGGUAUUCCGGGGAGUAUGCCUGUUUGAGGGUCGCUUAACAAACCAUCGAUUUCGUUGCUUUUUUUUUUUAAAGUGAUGUUUAUCGGAUUUGAGCCGUCUUUUUUCUUAUAUUUAAGUGGCUUAAAAUUGAUUUUUUUGGUACGAUCGAAGCGUAUUUUUAUGAUCAAUUUUUGGUUAAAGAAACGCACACGUACCGUUAUUUAUAUGAUGUAAUACGUUUGACUAUUGGAUUUAGUUCAUUCGUAUACGAUAUCUUUCAAUAUUUGACCUCAAAUCAGGUAAGAACACCCGCUGAACUUAAGCAUAUCAAUAAGCGGAGGA
rnacentral:misc_RNA from 1 species